GACAGUGCUGCAUGGCUGUCGUCAGCUCGUGUUGUGAAAUGUUGGUUAAGUCCCGCAACGAGCGCAACCCUUAUCCUUUGUUGCCAGCGGUCCGGCCGGGAACUCAAAGGAGACUGCCAGUGAUAAACUGGAGGAAGGUGGGGAUGACGUCAAGUCAUCAUGGCCCUUACGAGUAGGGCUACACACGUGCUACAAUGGCGCAUACAAAGAGAAGCGAACUCGCGAGAGCAAGCGGACCUCAUAAAGUGCGUCGUAGUCCGGAUUGGAGUCUGCAACUCGACUCCAUGAAGUCGGAAUCGCUAGUAAUCGUAGAUCAGAAUGCUACGGUGAAUACGUUCCCGGGCCUU
rnacentral:rRNA from 1 species